GACGAACCGUGCGAACGUUGUUCGGAUUCACUGGGCUUAAAGGGCGCGUAGGCGGGUGAUCAAGUCCGGGGUGAAAUACUCCAGCUUAACUGGAGAAUAGCCCUGGAUACUGGUCGUCUUGAGGGAGGUAGGGGCAUGUGGAACUUCCGGUGGAGCGGUGAAAUGCGUAGAUAUCGGAAGGAACGCCGGUGGCGAAAGCGAUGUGCUGGACCUCUUCUGACGCUGAGGCGCGAAAGCCAGGGGAGCAAACAGG
rnacentral:rRNA from 1 species